rnacentral:rRNA from 1 species
GAUGAACGCUGGCGGCGUGCCUAAUACAUGCAAGUCGAACGAACGGACGAGAAGCUUGCUUCUCUGAUGUUAGCGGCGCACGGGUGUGUAACACGUGGAUACCCUCCCUAUAUGACUGGGAUAACUUCGGGAAACCGGAGCUAAUACCGGAUAAUCUUUUUAACCGCAUGGUUCAAAAGUGAAAGACGGUCUUGCUGUCUCUUAUAGAUGGAUCCGCGCUGCAUUAGCUGGUUGGUAGGGUAACGGCUUACCAAGGCAACGAUGCAUGGAAGACUUGAGAGGGGGAUCGGCCACAUGGGAACGGAAACAGGCACAAGACUCCUAAGGGAGGCAGCAGUAGGGAAUCUUCGGCAAUGGGGGAAAGCAUGACGGAGCAAGGCCGAGUGAGUGAUGAAGGUCUUGGGAUCGGAAAACCCUGUUAUGAGGGAAGAACAUAUUUGUAAGGAACUGUGGACAGAUUGACGGUACCGGAUCAGAAAGCCACGGCUAACUACGUG